CAGCUGCCUGAGAGUGCUCCUGAGGACCCCGACAGCUGGGACAGCAUCUUUGGGGACAUUGAACGAAUCAUCAUGCCUGGGGUGGUACAUUGGCAGAGCCCCCAUAUGCACGCCUACUACCCAGCCCUCACCUCUUGGCCCUCCCUGCUAGGAGACAUGCUGGCUGAUGCCAUCAACUGCUUGGGAUUCACCUGGAGCACGGUCAGUGAAUCCACUUUGAUUGCCCUGCUGGCAGCAAGGAAGAACAAAAUCCUGGAAAUGAAAACGUCUGAGCCCGAUGCUGAUGAGUCCUGCCUAAAUGCCCGACUCGUGGCCUAUGCCUCUGACCAGGCUCACUCCUCUGUGGAAAAGGCUGGUUUGAUUUCCCUUGUGAAGAUGAAAUUUCUGCCUGUGGAUGACAACUUCUCACUCCGAGGGGAAGCUCUUCAGAAGGCCAUCGAGGAAGACAAGCAGCGGGGCUUGGUGCCCGUCUUUGUCUGUGCAACACUAGGGACCACUGGGGUCUGUGCAUUUGACUGCCUGUCAGAGCUGGGCCCCAUCUGUAAGUAUCUUCCCUCUCUGGCUAGGAAGACAAGGAAUACAUUUUUAAAUGUCUCCUAAAGCAAGGACCUGAAACCAGCUCUAUGGGAUUAUUCUUGUUCCUCUUUGGUCAAUGCAGAGACAUGGGAAGAACCACCAAAGGUCAUGAGGGUCUCUUCCAGGGAUCCCUGGACAUUGCCUUUCCCAGUGGUGUGACAAGAGUUAGAGGUGGCCUACCUUGCCUUCUGUCCUAGGAGGCGACAGUAGGAGAGCCUUCAGUUUUCUCAUCCUCUUACUUGUAUGUUGAACUUUACUUAAUGCAGGCUAUAUCCAAAAUACAGUGUGAAUUAGGCUAGAAUAGAAAUGCUUUCUAUUCUACCUUCAGAAAAGGAAAAGGGUAGGGUAGGGGAAAUCAUGGGAGAGAUUAAAGGCAGAGAGGAAACCCAGAUGGGACUGUUUAAUCCCCAAGCAAGAAACCACUAGGAAAGAGAGAUACCU
rnacentral:sRNA from 1 species